CAUGGUGAUUUCCAUGAGACAUGUUGGAACUUUGGAUUCCAACAGAGGGAGGAUGAAGGAUUGUGGCAUGUGUUUCUGUUAAAAGUUCACAUAUAGAGGACAGCACAAAACAAGAAAAGCUAAUCUUGUGAACGGAGGGAAGUACCUAUCCAAUAUACAUUUUCAUUUAGGAAAAUUAUAACUUAUUUUGAUUAUAAACAUAUUCAUCAUCCCUGUAAAAAAAUCAGAGAGCGGAUGGGUUCUCCAGUAGGUUUGACAAAUGUUUGACAUCAGCAAGUCAGGAAGGUAGGAAAUUCAGACUUUAGGUUUUUGUUAGUAAUUUUGUAUGAUUUGUGUUUAUAAUUGACUGGAAACUGUAGUAGCCUUUUAUUCAAGUUAUAAAUUUCUAAUUUUGAGAAAUUGGAGAUCAGAUGCAUCACAUGACAUAGAAAAAUGAAGAUUAAAUUUUUUAAAUAUUUUUUGAAAUUAAGAAAGUGAAACUUUUAUUAAAAUUUGAAUAAUAAAUUACAUUUUCAUGCUAAGUUUAUCGGCAUACAUAAAGAUGUUUAGUUAAAUUUUGAAUGUAACACUGCAAAAAGUCGUAACUCUGCUAUAUGGAAAGCGAGAAAUAGAUCUUAUGAUAAUUUACAAAGUUAGGUUUUUAUUUCUGGUUAUUUUUCCUAACCUCUUGAGUUGAGAUUAUAUUGUUCAGUUAGAAGUUGGAAGUUCAGUUGUGUCAUUUAUUAAAGUCUCGGCCCCAUGUAUUGAAACUGUGAGUUUGUUAUGUUUAACUUCAAAAAGUUAUAAUAAAUACUCUGAUGUAACAUUUCAAGCAUUCUUAGUGUUAAAUAAAACUUUAGUUACAAAGCAAAUGUAUGGAAGAAAGCCAGUUGGUUCAGUAAUCUAAACUUAUCCUUUUUUUUGUUCAUAAAGUCAUAGAAAGACUUUGAAUGGAUCCAAACUGACAAUACAUACAGUGUAACAUUUACUCCAAUAAUCUGUUUAAUAAGAAAUAAUUCUAUAUUAAAUCAGGCUUGCAUUAAGUUUGUAACUUUAUCUUUCCCAAAAUAAAACACUAUUAAUAGGCAGUUUUACAAACCUCUAGACAUUCACAUCCAGUUAAUUUAAUUCUGCAUUUUAAAGAAAAUAUGAGAUUUAUCUUUUAUUCUUUAAACUACUCUAGUAGUCCUUUCUUUGUAGUCUACAGUGAAUAAUCCAAAAUUGAACUUAUUAUUCUAAAAGUCGUCUAAGAAAAGAUUACAAAACAGAAUUGUUUCUUUCAGUUGAAAUUAUGCAAGUAUGUGAUGAGCAGCAUGUUUUUUAUUUGUUUACAUAAGUAGAACCUCAACACAAGGUUAUAUUGAUUGCUCCCAGUUCCAUUAUUCUAAUGUAACUCAAGUUUUUUUCACAAUAACAUUUUCAUACCCCAGUCCAUGACUUCAUGCUUUUAAAUAUUAUAAUAGGCUUUCUAAAUCAGAGACUUAUCGUUAUUAUCCUGAUUUUUACUACCUGUAGGACUUAAUUAAAAGGGUUGUAUAAGAGUUAUAGAGCAGUGUUUCUCAAUCACUGUUUACAGACCAGUGCCAAUCUGUCACAACCACCUUGCCAGUCUGUGGGAUUUCAUGAAAAGAAACAAACAAGAAAACAAAAACUGGCAGAAUAUUCACAUGUAAAUCAUAAUGUUUUUCAAUAUACUUGCAUUUCAAUGGUCCAUGACAGUUUAAGGAGCCAGUGAGCUGCUUUCUGGUAACAAAAAAAGAUUUAGAAACUGUUAAAAUGUAGUCCAUUUUCAAACAGUGUAGCAGAAAUGUAGCCAUUAGUGCAACUAGAUGUAGCUGUUUAAUUUAUACAAGAAACAAAGUAAUGGUUUUAAUUAAAGUUAUAGACUGAAAUAUUUUGCUUCAAUAAAUCUUUUAUAGUUUUACUGUGUGUGUAGCAGUUACUGUGUUAUGAUGUGUCUGUGGAAAUAUAAGUCUUUGUUUACUUCCAAAUUAUUGAUCUUAUUGAAUUCCUAUAUUUUUGGAGACAUUUCAUGCCUAGUGUGUGUGUGCAUGCUUCUAUUUUUUGUUCUUUCAUUCAACUACAGUAUAAUUUGUAUUUCACUGAGAAAGACCUGCCACAAGGCCUGCUAUUUAACUGAAAAAAGAUGGAUGUACUACUUAAAAGAAAGAAGAAAAUAAUUCAAAUGUGUAAACCAAGAAGCUUGGAGGCUAUAAGUUUACAUUGUGGCUCAGAAAUAUCUGUACUAUAAAGAAGAAAGAUCCACCUUUUGAAAAUGCUCGGGUGAAAAAAAACCUGUUCAGGUUAAAAUUCUACUCCGAACUGUAAUAAACUCAGUGCAGCCUCACAUCAUCAUAGAAAAAUGUGGCUUGUGGCAGGUCCUACCAGUGGAUUAGCCUCAUCAGCUAAGUACUCACUAGUAUUUAAUAGCUAAUUUCAACAUCUUAAUGGUAAAAUCAUUCAGAUGAAGGUUUUGAUCAUUACAGGUAUUGGGAAAUAAUUUCUUUAUUUUCCUGUAAUUUUGUGAAAAGAAUUUGGUUAAAAAUUGAUAUAUUUUAUGAGGCCUGCAAUUAUACAUUAGGGUAACUAUUCUUUGUAAUAUCAAUCAUUUUCCCCCCACAUUUUUUUUUUAUGAUUUUUC